rnacentral:sRNA from 1 species
UGGAUUGACAGACCUGUGAAUUUCUAUCGUCACCUCGACUCAUAAA